rnacentral:lncRNA from 10 species
CUCAUUUCAGAGCAUGCUGAAGAAGGAGAAAGGCAAAUACAAGUGAGAGAAAUGUUUUUCCCUCUGUAUCUUAAUGUGGCAAGAACUCUUGGGCAAGAAACCAUCUCCUCAUGUUCAGCUUUCUUUUUCCUUCCUCUCAUUUCUCCUGUUCUUGUGUCGCUCUGACUUCAGAGCCAUAAUAACAAACCUAUUACUGCAAUAAGAUGCCAGAAGGGGAAAAUGAGACUAAGUUACCGAGGAAGAAAGAGAUGCAGCACCAACCCCAAGCCUCUCUGAAGAGCCUGCAGGCUGUUGAAUAAGGGAUGUCAGUUUAAUUGCUUCUUUUCUCCCUUGGUAUGGUAUAGAUGCAUCUGUUCUUUUUCUCUUUUUGUUCUCUAUUAGGUUCACAAAUUAUUUUGCCAUAGAUGCUAAUAGCAUCUGCGAAGAGGCAGUGUAAUUCUGGAGUGGCCAUUCCUUGGGUUUCUCUCUGCCCCCACUGCUCCUUAUGUUAACUUUCUCCAGCCAGAUGAGCAGCUCUUUGAAGACAGGAGCUACAUCUUGCUGAGGGUUACCUGAUGAUUCUGUUGCUCACAGAAGCAUGCACAAGGUUGCAUACUACAAGCAUCUGAAAAUUCUCAUAGAAGCAAAGUCUCUAUGUCUUUUCCUAGCCCCUUCUCCUCCCGCUUUGUGGUUGACUUAACCAAGGGAGAUACUGAGUGAAUUCUGACUUUUUUUUUUUUUUUUUUUGCGACGGAGUCUCGCUCUGUCGCCCAGGCUGGAGUGCAGUGGCGCGAUCUGGGCUUGCUGCAAGCUCCGCCUCCCGGGCUCACUCCAGUGAAUGCUGACUUUUUUUUCUGAUUUUCCCAAGGAAGGCUGACAGCACCCAUCUCUUGAGCAGAGACCCAAGAGGGCAGGACAGGAAGAAUGGAAGUGAGAUUUGGCCCCGGUCAUGUUUUCCAAAGUGCUGACAUCAGGAAAAUAAUAGAAGUUAACGCAGAUAUGGGGCUGCCACUGAGGAGAGAGAAGACUGAAAGAAGCAUAUAGAUAAAAGAUUAUCUGAGUAGGCUGAACCAUCGGUGAAAAGGAGGCCAAGCAUCUCAAAAAUAGGACACGUGAGAGUAUGGAGCCAAUGUGACACUCAGAUUUGACACAUACAGAAGCGUGAAAAACUCUUGUGUGACUGGGAUAGCUCCUCUGCAAUGAGAACAUGCCUGGGAUAAUGUACUGAAAAGAUGUGAGAAAUACAUGAAGCAGAGUCCAGUCAUCCCAGCCAAGAACCAGCUGUGAAUGUAACCGCAUGACUUUGAGGCAAGUCCAGACCAAGAACAAAGAACCACUGGUCUUAAAGACAGACCUGCAGAUUCCUGAGCUAAAUAAAAGUUUAUUGUUGAAAGGCACUGAGUUGUUUUUG